CCCUCGUCUCCCUUCCCAGGAAAGCUCCUUCCUUUUCCCCUCGCCCAUCUUCUUCCCCUUUGCCUCCCCAAGUCGCCGGCAAUUCUCUAUGCCGCUCAGACGACUCCUCGCCGGCGAAAAUUCCAUAUUUCGUCGGCCUGGCCAUUCCACGAUUUGUCUUCCCGAUGGCCAAUACAUCGAUGUCUACACUGACGACGAUGGGACUCUCGUCACCGGCGGAUCGGAGGGCCGGCCGCCACGGCCUGUCCAAGAAAUCUUCGCCGACAUCCGGCGCCGUCAGGCGGCCGCUGAGGACGCCUCCCGUCGCCUCCACUACCCGCAGCGUCGUCCACAACCCCGUCCACCAUCAGAUGCGGCCUCCACGACCCAACUACCUCCAACCCCCUCCACUCCACUCCACUCCACCAUCAGAAUCAGAUGCAGCCGACCCCCUGCAACCCCUUCCCCUCCCCUCCACCGUCAGCUGCAGCCUCCACAACCCGAACCCAUCCCCUACGCUCCAGGCAAGCCUCGCCCCUUUACACUCACCGACCUGGAUGCGAUACGUCGACGCGUAGCAGAUGCAUCUAAGGAAUUCGCCCACUCCGACUACGCUGUCGGGGAUGGACAACUCUUCACGGACGUCGACGAGAUAUCUCGACGCGUAGCAGAUGUACGCAUGGAAGUCGCCUGCUCCGACAUCCAGACGAGGCCCUACGAUCGGCCGCAACCUCCACAGUGCGAGUACCCUUCUUAUGAUGUGCCUGAGCAGUUGGAAACGCCACUGCUAGAGCCAAAGAACACCAACACUUCAUCUUCCUCCACACAGCCAGAGGCGCUAACUCAUGACAUCUUGCCAGUGUCAAGGCAAUCGUCUCCGCCUAUUUUCGCUCGCAAUCCUUCUGGUUGGCAUAUACAGUUUUUCAUCAGAAUAGAUGUCGAGGGUUCUUUCCACACGUAUCCUAGUCUGGGCGGGCCAUUUCAGAGCUUGCAGGAAGCUGAGAACGCUAUCACUAGCCAUCUUGACGAGCUGCGCUCUCCAAUGAUGUGCACAGAUGGGCUUUCGGAUGCUGAGAUUGGUAUAUUACACGCCCUUCACUGGCCUGAUGGCACAAGGAAGAAAUCUUCUAAAGGCAAUGCGGAACAUAGGAAUAUCAGCUUAUUGGUUCAAGCGUUACUGGACAAAUACAAUGAAGAUCACCAUCUUUUGGGGGAUUUUGAAUAUGAACUUGAUGAUGUUGUUAUCUUCCGAGAAUUUGUUGAGGGGGAGAAAGUGACUAGGUUCUAUCAUAUCAAUCUGGCUACAAAAACCAAAGGAGAAGAUGGUUUGCACAGUGGCGUCAACAAUCUAUUUUUUGCUGAAGUCAGACAAAUUAAAGGAGAAAAUGUAUAUGUACUCAGUUGUUUAUGUAUGGUUAAACCUACUGACAGUGGCCAAUGCUAUGGUUGCUUGAGUUAUGGAAAUGUUGAUUUGAAGCACCCUGUUGAUACUGAUAAAUACAAAGGUGGCCACACUGCCCCGCGCUCACCAUGUUGCGGUUUUGAUCUACGGUGUGAUGUUAUCCCUGGCCUAGAUGUACCUGAAUGCAUCGAGGAUGAGGAGGCUAGGCUGGUGAAGGAGGAGGCUAGGUUAAGAUAUAUAUACAAGUGCCCUGCUCCGGCAAAAUUGGAUGGUGCAAGAGUGCGUGCUUGUUUGGCAAAGAGAGAGGAUGCUGGUUUGACCAAGGGAGAGUGUGGCCAGGGAAGCGCGAAAUACAUUGUGCCUGCUAGGCGUCGUCUGCUGGUUUGAGUAACCCCUCAGGAACGUAGAUAAAUUUAAUUUGAUUUAGAACUGCUUGAUAUUGUUGCACUAUUUUCAAAACUUGAACUAGCCGGUUGAUGUUGCAUGGCAUAACUAUUCUUUAGUUUCUAGUAUCUUGGAGAAGGAUUAAACUCGCCGUGCACCAUAAUUUGGGAUGUUGUUGCUGCAAUAGUAGAAUGUAUGGACCUGCCAUUUGCUUUGGACUUGGUUGUAGCUGCUCGGAAGUUUGGUGCUUUGGGGCCGUAAUGGUGUAAUGUUUCAUAUUUUAGUUCCAUGGAAGGUCUGCAAUGGAGCUGCCUUUUGUUUUUU